rnacentral:lncRNA from 1 species
UAGACGCGCAGUGCGUCGCGCGCGUGAUAAGUGUUUUGUUAUUGUUUACGUAUAUAGCGACCGGAUAUCUAUAGCGCGCGAAAAGUUAUUUUGUUAUUGCCGUGAGGCGGGCGUAUAAGCGCCGCCGUUAAGCGUAAAUACAGCGCUGGGCCAAAUAAGCGACCAUUGUGAGCCAUAGCGACAAGCCCGAUAGUCAUGUAGCGGACGGAUGGCAGCCUAGUUAAGGAGAUUUCGAGUUGGCUGGGGAAGAAAAAGGUGGCGAGCUCGAGGAUGCGCGCCAGAGAUGCAUUGGUUAUAUAGUAUACAUUUAGUCCGCGCGAGCAGAGCGUUGGCGCUGAGGGCCGACCUGCCCUUCGGCAGCCGACCGAUGGUGUUCUUUCGACCCGUUGAAGAGGGCGUUUGGCUUGACUUCGUUUGGCACUGAGGGCGACUUGCCCUUUGGUGAUCGAACGGUCGUCGUGUUUUUAUACACUUGGAGUUACAGGACGGAUGGGUGUUCGAGGAACAUUGAAAGAGAUUUUGCCGAAAAGAAUCAUCGUAGCGACGAGAAUUGUCGCGUUUUUUUUGCACACAAGAUCGAUGAGCGUAAAGGCAGAUAUUAGCAAGAAUGACGGUGUGUAAGAUUUGAUGGUGUCGUUCCCGGACCACAAAUCGACCGCGUAACCAGCAAUAAAUGCUGUGAUUCCAAAACCGAUCGAACCCCAGACCCUUUGCCUUCCGUAACUCAUUUGACCGCCUUCGCCUCUUUUUAUCGAUAUCAGUAAUCAUACCCAAUACAUCGAAGCAGAUAGCGUCACUGAUGCAAUUCGACACGUUGAAGCCGAUAUUUCCAAGGGCCAUCAGUAGGACGAAUCCCAGGAAGGUCAGCGACCAGUAGAUACAGGCGCUCUCGUGCUUCGAGUCAUCGCAGGUGAUUUGACAGACGUCAUCCUCGAGACAGUACGUCGAGUUCGAUUCGCUCACGAAGCAGGAGGAAUGUUUAUCAAAACUAGCCUCGCGGCUCGUCCUGAAGAAGGCUUGCGCGCUGAAGUUGCCGGCGUCGCGACAGAUCCACACGCAGUCCGAUAUCCUGCCGUCGUCUUCGCAUGAAUCUGUUACAUUGAUUCUCUGGAUAAUAAUUCGCACAAAGCAGAUCAUUACCAUCGUCGAGCACCGCUCGAUAGCCGAGCAGGAGACGUUGAAGAACUCUCCCUUGUCUGGUAGAACCGGCGCGGGCAACGACGGCAAAAAGUACAUGAGCACAUAGCAGCCGCUGGUCGUAGCGAGUAGCCCGACGAAGAUGGCCCGUCGCCAGGCGCGAAAGUGAUCGACGACGAAGCCGAAAGCCGGUUUCGCCACGAGGAACAGCAGCGGCAGUACUGCCGUUAUGCUGCCCAUCACCGCUGGAGAAACGCCCAGCUGCUUGCCGUAGACCGGCAGACGGCUAUCGAGAUACUGCUCGUGACGAUUCGCUCAUCGUGCCUAGACCUGAAGAAGAAAGAGAUCAUGACAUUGAGAGUGUAAAAAGCGUCUGUAUUUGGUCGCGGUAUCUUUACGAUUGAUAAAUUACAAAAGUGGAAGAUAAAAGGUUUACAUUGUAUCGAUAUGUGCAAACUCGUGCUUACAGAAAUAAUCUCCGUGUAAACGAUAAGCGCCCGCAACGCAUCACUGAAAUGACUCGAGUUCAUUAAGUAAUACAUCAUGUACUGAAUGGUUUAUUCGUUACAUGGGCGAUUUUAUAAAUAAUCGAAAUUUGGAUAAUGCUUAUCGAGAGAUUUUUGCGUCGGAUAAAUUUUUACUCUAUACUAGAACUCGCGAGAGGUAAAUUAAUUAGGAUUCAAGCUUGGAAUUAUCUCUCUAUUCUGUAUGAUUUUAUGAUAAGAUAAAAGUAUUUAUUUAAUAAAGCGCACGUCAAAGGCUAUUCGAUGGAAAA